CCUACGGGAGGCAGCAGUGGGGAAUCUUGCACAAUGGGGGAAACCCUGAUGCAGCAACGCCGCGUGAGCGACGAAGCCCUUCGGGGUGUAAAGCUCUUUCGGCAGGGACGAUAAUGACGGUACCUGCAGAAGAAGCUGCGGCUAACUACGUGCCAGCAGCCGCGGUAAUACGUAGGCAGCGAGCGUUGUUCGGAAUUACUGGGCGUAAAGCGUGCGUAGGCGGUCGGCUAAGUUUGGUGUGAAAUCUCCCGGCUCAACCGGGAGGGUGCGCCGAAAACUGGCCGGCUAGAGGGCGGGAGAGGGAAGUGGAAUUCCUGGUGUAGCGGUGAAAUGCGUAGAUAUCAGGAGGAACGCCAGUGGCGAAGGCGGCUCUCUGGACCGAAACUGACACUGAGACGCGAAAGCGUGGGGAGCAAACAGGAUUAGAUCCCUUUGUAGU
rnacentral:rRNA from 1 species